rnacentral:lncRNA from 1 species
GGGCCUCAGCCCAGUUUCAGGGCGGCCUCCGCUGGCCCCAGCCUGACUAAUAAAGUGUGAAAUUGACUUCAUCCUCUGCCGCGUCUCCCCAGCCAGUGUCCCCGCAGCACCUCCGCGGCCUCCACCGAGGCCGCGCUGUCGGCCUCGCUCUGUCACGGCAGACAGGCGGGUCAGCAGCGCCCACGCCGCCCCAGGGCCCAGCGCCGCAGAGCCCACGGAGCCUUCUGGCCUCAGGCCAGGAUGGGCUUUCAAAGCUAGAAGCAUCCGAUGUGGCAUGUGUGACGCAGCUUCUAAGUCAGCCGCCGGCCCCUCCUGUCCCUGUUUACUCCUCUGGCGCUGGCGGCGGACGCAUGGGAGGGGGGCAGCGAGGACGGCAUUAGGGGAGACCCCGGAGACCCCUCCCCUCCACUGCACCAGACGCAGGGCUGGAGAAUCAGAGCACAAGAGACCACGGGGAGCGAGGAAGUCGGGGUGCUCACGGGAGCCCCCGGGGGCCUUAGGGGCUGCCUGGGGGGUGAUGGGAGGCCCCCAGACCCCUCCUUCCACCAGGAUGGCGCUGUUUGAGGAUCCGUUUUAUUUAUUUGCUCAUGUUUAGCAUUUCCUAGGAAGAAGGGAAGGCCGUGACUCUAGGGAGUCCUAAACCAGGCGUUGUCCAGCGGUCCUUCCCAGACUGGCCUGUGCUGCACAUUCAACCGGCGACUUGGUCAAAAGGACAGAUUCCGACGCCUGUGGGAAGGCGUCCGGGAACCUGAAGCUUUCAGGAAGCUUCUGAGGAAGUUCUGAGACGUGUCAUCACUUUGCCGGUCAUUGUUUGGACUUGGUUGGGAUCCUGGUCCAAUGACGCACAGACGAGAGAACCUUCCAUGUGUGGCCAUUGUGGUUUUAUGUCACGACCCGUGCAUGGCCUCAGUCCUCACGACAACCCGAUGAGGUUCCGGUCACUCUUCCUCUUGUGCAGGCUCCAAGUGGCCUUCAGGCCAGCUCUCCUCUCGGUUGCAAGACAGCUGAUGCCCUUCCAGACAUGACAUGUCCAGAAUAAGGGGAAAGCUGGUCUGAGAGUGAAGCUAGCACUGAGCCAAGAGAUUGAGAUACGGAGACCCUAAGCUGCUGGAUGCAGCCGGGCCUGACGCCAGAUAACCCUGUGCAUCUCAGUCACAUGAGCCAAUAAACUUUCCUUUCUUGG